rnacentral:rRNA from 1 species
ACGGGUGAGUAACACGUGGGCAACCUGCCCGACAGACCGGGAUAACGCUUGGAAACGAGUGCUAAUACCGGAUACACUCUUGAAUCGCAUGAUUCGAGAGGGAAAGCUGCUUUUGCAGCACUGUCGGAUGGGCCCGCGGCGCAUUAGCUAGUUGGUGAGGUAACGGCUCACCAAGGCGACGAUGCGUAGCCGACCUGAGAGGGUGACCGGCCACACUGGGACUGAGACACGGCCCAGACUCCUACGGGAGGCAGCAGUAGGGAAUCUUCCGCAAUGGGCGCAAGCCUGACGGAGCAACGCCGCGUGAGUGAUGAAGGCCUUCGGGUUGUAAAACUCUGUCUUCUGUGAAGAACAAGCCUAUGAACAGAACGCUUAGGCCCUGACGGUAACAGAGGAGGAAGCCCCGGCUAACUACGUGCCAGCAGCCGCGGUAAUACGUAGGGGGCAAGCGUUGUCCGGAAUCACUGGGCGUAAAGCGCGCGCAGGCGGCUGUCUACGUCCGGGGUGAAAGCCCAGAGCUCAACUCUGGGAUUGCCUUGGAUACGGGAUGGCUUGAGGAUCGGAGAGGCA